AGGGAAGUGACUCAGCAGUAGAGUGCAUGCCUUGCAUGCCUGAGGUCCUGGGUUCAACCCCUGGCCCUG
rnacentral:tRNA from 1 species